AUUUUUCAAAGUGCGUUGAUAUCGUCGAUAUUAUAAAAAACUGUUCAGGAUUUGGUCCAAAUAAUUGAUACUUUUAUUGACAUACAAUAACUGAUUGUUUUAACCUUGGUUUGAUAUUGUUUAGCUCAAUGGGAUAUUUUUAAAAAAAAAGAAUCCAAUGCAUUCUCAGCUUACUUUAUAAACAGUUUCUCGAUUCGAAUUUUUUUCUCAUAAGCUUACGUAGUUUGACAAUUUACACAAGAACAAAUCAGGAGUUUUAAAUUAUCAAAAUAUGACAUAAACUGCAUCGCGUAGAAAUUGCCUUUUUCCUUUUUUGUCUAUGCAGCAAAAUUAAUGUACUUCUUAUCUGAUACAUUGGGCUAUGUCAGAAACGUUUACUUCAAGUUGGUGAAUAUCAUACGUUUUGGAUAGAAAGAUAAGGGGUAGGCAACCUUCUUCCUGAAAUCAAUUACUAGUAAAUGAUGCACUGGUAAUUGACCUGUAUGAUUGGUUAACCCACACCCACCCCCGUUCUCAAAGACGGUUAAUGAGAUUUACUAGUGUUAACAAUUCAUCAUACAAUCAGCAAAUUAGAAAUUCAAUUCCAGAUUUUUCUAUUUAAACAUAUUUUUUUAAAGUGCGUUAAGUGUUUCGAUAAUAAAAAAUGUUGAAGUUCCAUCAUAACGCACUUUGAAUUUUUUUUUUCAAACUGCGUUAGCUUAGUCCUAAGUUUCACGCGUUUUAUUUUUUUUAAGUGUGUACUUUUCUCAAAGUUUGUUGCCACAUACGUUAUUUAAAAUCCACUAUAAAUCACAAAACUUGUGUGCUAUAAUUCUUUAGAAACUGUACAAAGAAUGUAUGGUGUAUCAAAUCAUUUGAUAAUGAGAAGAUGGGAUAAAUAAGUAAAAUUAAUGUAAGUAGUCAGUUUCAUGUGUGUAUUUCAAACCUGACAAUGUAGUGAGAAUCAUGUGUGUCUAACUGGUGGGUCACGUGGUCUGAUGUAGUGAAGUUCAGGGGAAAACCCAAAUUUUUAAUAUAAUGAAUUUACGAAUUAUCAGCCCCCUAGGCUAAUAAGAGUAGACAGUCUUUUAUAAAUUUGCUCAAAUUUUUUCUUCACGACCCUUAGAAAAUAGUGUAGUGACUUUCUGGUGAAAAGUCAUGUGUAGUGAGUUUCAUGUCUUUACGAGUAUGUGUGUGUGUGUGUGUGUGUGUGUGUGUGUGUGUGUGUGUGUGUGUUUGUAAGCACCUGAAUACCACUACACUAGUAUGAAUACACACGUUUUAUCCCACUACAUUUUUUCUUCCCACUACAUGCACCCGUGUAGUGGGAAGUAAAAUCAUUCGGAAACGUUAUUUCUCAUCGUACUUGAUUCAAAAAAUAUAAAAUCGUACUAUGUUUGGGUUUCCGGUGUGUAUGUGAAUUUUUUAACACGCAUCGUGGAGUCCAUAAGAGUACUUUACACACUUUCCUCCAUUGGAUAUAAAUAGCGCAUGCGCAAUCGGAACUUCCUAUUCGAAGAUGGAAAUAAUUGUUUACAAGACUCUCAAAACCAAAAAUUUUGUUUGCAAAUAGUGACUGAUGUGCCUUAUGAUGUAGAUUUUGGAUAUUGUGCUUUUCCAGGAAAAAUAUCCAAGCUACAUGAGGUUUCCUGAGAAAAGUGUUUGUCUCACAUGGAAAAGCCAUUGUUUAAGAUUAUACAUAUUAAGCACCAGUGUUCAGACAAAGGUUAACUUCCUAGAAGGAC